AUGAACGCUGGCGGCGUGCCUAAUACAUGCCAGUCGAGCGAACGGACGAGAAGCUUGCUUCUCUGAUGUUAGCGGCGGACGGGUGAGUAACACGUGGAUAACCUACCUAUAAGACUGGGAUAACUUCGGGAAACCGGAGCUAAUACCGGAUAAUAUUUUGAACCGCAUGGUUCAAAAGUGAAAGACGGUCUUGCUGUCACUUAUAGAUGGAUCCGCGCUGCAUUAGCUAGUUGGUAAGGUAACGGCUUACCAAGGCAACGAUGCAUAGCCGACCUGAGAGGGUGAUCGGCCACACUGGAACUGAGACACGGUCCAGACUCCUACGGGAGGCAGCAGUAGGGAAUCUUCCGCAUUGGGCGAAAGCCUGACGGAGCAACGCCGCGUGAGUGAUGAAGGUCUUCGGAUCGUAAAACUCUGUUAUUAGGGAAGAACAUAUGUGUAAGUAACUGUGCACAUCUUGACGGUACCUAAUCAGAAAGCCACGGCUAACUACGUG
rnacentral:rRNA from 1 species